GGGAGAGAUUCGACGUACUGAGACUGCUGAGCUGCGGAUGUAUUGAGACAGUUAACGUAUUAUAUACAAACUGUAUUAUAUACGAACUGUAUUAUAUACGAACUGCAAACAAACUCUUUUUGUAAAUAGAUUUGCUGUUUGAUCAUCCAACUUCUAAGCUGGGAAACGUUUGAGUAUAAAGACUGAACUUCAGUUACUGCCGUUAGAGCCGUUAGAGCCGUUGGCUCUUUCUGGCAGUUGGUUUGCCUUAUUCUCCGUCCAGCUAGAGGUAAAAUUUAACUAUAAUAUAUUUCACUUUCUUAUAUCAUUGAGGUUAAAACAUAAAAAAAAAAUGCUUGUUACACUAUCUAGUGCCCCACGCAUCCGGACUGGGAGCCUCUAUACAGUUGUCCCAAACGUUUUGCAUUGAGAUUGGUCAGGUUUUUUUAUUUUGCUGGAUUGUUCCUGAGGUGGAUUCCUCCGAUGACCUUGAUGGCGAGCCUUCCCACCUGGACACAGAGAAAGAACCGGAUUUCGUCUUUCCUAUUUGGAGUCCUGCUGCACCCUGCGGUGUGGUAGGCAUGUUAACACUCACAUCUUCACACACAGUUGCUUAUGUGUGAGACCACUGACUGACAUUUUUCAUUCUUAUUAUUUUAUCCUGGAAUUUUGGACAUUACCUUUUGGACCGGUUUUUAUUUCAGACAUAAACUGCUGUGGUGGAAAUUCUUCUCCUGUGAAUGAUGUUGAGUUAAAUCUGAAUUGGAAAGUAAUUUGAUUCAUCUGUUGACUAAUACACUUUAGAGUACGGAUUGCCAGGGUGCACCCAACAGAUUUGAAAUUGAGAGUUAGCACAUGGCCAAGUAUUAUUAUUAUUAGUGUAUGUAUUUUAUUGUGUGUCAUUUUAUGUUUAUAAUUGUGUGUCUUGUAAAUCUGUCAAUGUUAUGUUUUAUGUCACUAAAGCCAGUUGUUCGUUAAAUCCA